rnacentral:rRNA from 1 species
AACGUAGGAGGCGAGCGUUAUCCGGAUUUACUGGGUGUAAAGCGCAUGCAGGCGGUUGACUAAGUUGGGUGUGAAAGCUCCUGGCUCAACUGGGAGAGGUCGCUCAAGACUGGUUGACUAGAGGGUGGUAGGGGAAGGCGGAAUUCCGGGUGUAGUGGUGAAAUGCGUAGAUACUCGGAGGAACACCAGUGGCGAAGGCGGCCUUCUGGACCACCCCUGACGCUCAGAUGCGACAGCUAGGGGAG